rnacentral:rRNA from 1 species
UACGGGGGGAGCAAGCGUUGUUCGGAUUUACUGGGCGUAAAGCGCACGUAGGCGGAUCGUUAAGUCAGGGGUGAAAUCCUGGAGCUCAACUCCAGAACUGCCUUUGAUACUGGCGAUCUCGAGUCCGGAAGAGGUGAGUGGAACUCCUAGUGUAGAGGUGGAAUUCGUAGAUAUUAGGAAGAACACCAGUGGCGAAGGCGGCUCACUGGUCCGGUACUGACGCUGAGGUGCGAAAGCGUGGGGAGCAAACAGG